rnacentral:lncRNA from 1 species
UAGAAAGCACAUUUGAAGGAAACAUUCUAGAACCUUGCUAGGUGUGACCGGUCAUAGCACAUGGCCUAUGCCUUGCAUUUCAUUUGGUUUACAUUUCAUUAUGUAUUAGCUUAAUUCCUACGUCCAAAUAGCCUAUAAAUAGGGAGGCUAUCUCAUGUAUUUUGCAAGUUUAUUGUGAGUAAAGUUAUGCUGCCAAUUUGUGCUCAACUUUGCUUCUCCCUAGAAUCCUAGGCUCUAAACUUCAAUUCCUUCAUCUUUUCCCUUGGGCUGGCCGAACCACCCAAUACCCACACUUAUCAUGCACCUACAAGAUCAACACCACUCCUAGGAGGAUCUUGCUCACUCUCAUUCAUUGCUUCCGCCCCAUACUCUACAUUGAUUCAAGAAGAACUUCAUGAAAAUGCCAUCAUUUGGUAUCAUGAGCUUUGGUUCUUCAAGAUGAGUAGCUCCUUGUCUUUUCAAUUUUAGUUCUUCUUUAUUUCAUAUUGUCAUUUACUUUCCAUACUUGUCUUGCUGUUUUUUACAUUUUAAUUUGUUCUUGGUGUGCUUUGUGGAAGAUCCAACCGAAGCACUCUUGUUCAAUUGAUCUUGAACAAGUUCUUGUGCAAUUUGUGAUAGGAUUCCAUACACCUUUGAGUUGCUAUUUUCUUUUAGGCUUUGAGUCUUUAUUGCUUUCAUUAUUNNNNNNNNNNNNNNNNNNNNNNNNNNNNNNNNNNNNNNNNNNNNNNNNNNNNNNNNNNNNNNNNNNNNNNNNNNNNNNNNNNNNNNNNNNNNNNNNNNNNNNNNNNNNNNNNNNNNNNNNNNNNNNNNNNNNNNNNNNNNNNNNNNNNNNNNNNNNNNNNNNNNNNNNNNNNNNNNNNNNNNNNNGUUUGAGUUCCAUUUGUGUUUAGAUCAUACACAAAUUCUAUUUCACAAAUUUCCAUUGUGUCUAAACUUUGGUAUCUUGCUGUUUUUGUUUCCAGUUUUCAGAUUCCCCUGUUUUUACCUUCUCUGUUUUGGCUGUUUUGAUCCAGAAAAAUAUUUCCACUCAUAGGAAAAUUUUGAUUCUCUGGAAUAUGCAAGUUUAAAGUGUUAUAGAAAGGAUAAAAAAAGAUUAAGGUCAAAAGAAGCAACAGAAAAAAAAUGAAUAAAAUCUUUUAAAAUCAGAGUGCAAAUUUGAAGCGCUCCAGCUGGCCUAACCGAACACCAAAAUUGCAAAAUUUAUUUAAAAAAAAUGGUGCAUGAGUUUUGAGUGAUUUCAAAGCCAGAUUUUAGAUAAGAUCCUGAAUAUCUUGCAUAACAAAUUUCAGAGUCAAUUUUAAAAUACAGCUCAGCAUAAUUCGGGGAACAAACACGUUUCUGGCCCACAACAUUUUCCAGUGGUGCUGUUUUUUUUUAUUUGGUCAUCUAAUCUAGUGCUUUUCUUUAGGAAUUCUUUUGUGUGCCAACCUUUAAUUGAGUACCUUUAUUUGUUUGCUUUAAUUACUUGACUCUCUUUCUAGUUGUCAUAAUCUAAAUCCUUUUGGUGGUACUGUUUUAUUCAAUUAAAUUUGUUUCUUGCUUUUGUUCUUUGACCUCUAAUUUGGGUGCUGGAAUUUAUUCUUCUUUGGUGCUUAUGUGAAUGGGAACUUGAUUUGGUUAAGGUUUAGCCCUUUGCUAGGUGCUGGAAAUUGGAGAAUUAAAGACCAUCAUUCUAAGGAGAAGACAAGGCCAAAGCCGAAACAAGCAUUCUUGAAAAAAAACACUACAAACACUUGGAAGAUCAACAAGCAAAGACAACAAGGAAGUGCACUAAUCAAAAAGAGGAUCAACAAAGGGAGUUCUCUUAUUCCCUUUGCAACUUGGUUUAUUGUUAAUUACCUUUUUAAUUACGUUUUAGACGGUGAGUGUGUCUUCAAGGGCUCUAAGUGUCCAAGAAGCCUCACCUAGGGCCGAUUAGUAUAGCAUUCUUGUUUAGUAAUUGUUACUUGUUUGAAAUUGCUAUUCUAUUGCUUUAGUAGAAGCGAUUUGCAUGUUUAAUUUUGUUUAAAUUUUGUGCUAAACCGACUAGCUUUGUUGCAUAGUUAGCUUACAUUGUUUUCUUGCAUUUAUUUCUCAACUUAUUUGUGUUCUAAGUGUUUCACUAAGAGAAAGUCUUGUGUGAAGAUAUUGGGGGAUAGUUUUUGGCAAGGAAAAGGCUUGGUACUUAAGUAGUCCUUUGUGACUCACCUCCCUUACCUGGAAAACUACCUUCUUUAACUUUCCUAAACUUUCUCAAAGUAAAACACCUAUAUACACAAAGUUUUUAGCCAUGUCUUCUUCUUCUCACUCUCCAAAGUCAAUAGAAAGUGAAGUAAAAUCUUUGAAAACUCUUUUAAAAGAAGUAUCCCAAGCGGUACAAUUGAUAUCUUUUAGACAAUUGGAGAAUGAGAACAAAAUCAAUGAGUUGCUAAAGCUCAAGAAGAGAAAUCACAAAAAACACAAAAAUCAAAAAAAAACUCAUGCAUCUCAAAGUAUUGAGUCUCUAGGGGAGGGAAGCCGUAGAAUCAAAUGAUUAUUACCAACCACCCCCUAGAAAAACUAGGCAAAGGGAACAAGAGGUGCCAAGGGAAACUAGAGUAGACCUACCUCAUUUUCAUGGAAAGGAAAAUGUAGAAAUAUAUCUAGAUUGGGAGAUGAAGGUAGAGCAACUCUUUGCUUGCCAUAGGGUAAGUGAGGAACGUAAGGUACCCUUAGCCACCCUUAGUUUCCAAGGGAACGCCAUGUAUUGGUGGACCUCUCUCGAAAGAGAAAGACGUCUUCAUAGGGAACCUUCCAUUACAUAUUGGAAUGACCUUAGGGGAGCCCUAAGACGUCGACAUAUACCUUCCUACUACCAUAGGGAGUUGAUGGACAAGCUCCAAAGACUCCAACAAAAGAACAUGAGUGUGGAAGAGUAUAGGCAAAAAUGGAGCUCUACAUGAUGAGAGCAUCCAUUAGAGAAGAGGAGGAAACCACCAUAGCUAGGUUCCUUAGUGGCCUAUCACUUGAGAUAAGAGAUAGAGUAGAGCUCUUACCUUAUCAAGACUUGAAUGAUUUGGUUCAACUUUGCAUUAAAGUUUAGCAACAAAACUUGCGCAAAACAUCAAGUCAAAAGGUGAGCCCCUAUUCUAGCUUUUAUCCCAAGAAAGAGUUUAGAAGGGAGGGUAGUACAUCCAAGGAAAAACCAAAAGAGCCUACCAAACCCUUCACCUAAGAAACCUCAACCCCACCCAUCCAAGCUAGAGAUGUUAAGUGUUUCAAGUGCUAUGGUAGAGGGCAUGUGCAAGCACAAUGUCCAAACCAAAGGACUUUGUUUCUUAAAGGUGUAGAUGAGUACACUAGUGGCGAGGAUAAGCCUAGUGAGAGAGAGGAAUGGGGAGAGGAUGAGAGGGUAGCUCCACUAGAGGGAGAAUUGCUUAUGAUUAGGAGAACCCUCAACAAUCACCCUAGCACAUCCAUUGAAACACAAAGAGAGAACAUAUUUCAUACAAGAUGCAAUGUUUUAGAAAACAUAUGCUCUCUCAUUGUGGAUAGUGGAUCUAGUUGUAAUUGUUGUAGUGCUAGGAUGGUUGAAAAGCUUAAGCUACAAGUGGUUCCUCACCCAAAACCUUACAAACUUCAAUGGCUUAAUGAAAAUGGGGAACUACAUGUAGACAAGCAAGUGGAAAUCAAGUUUUCCAUAGGGAACUACAAGGACAAAGUUUUAUGUGAUGUAGUGCCUAUGGAAGCUUGUCAUAUUUUAUUAGGGAGACCAUGGCAAUUUGAUAAGAAAACCUUGCAUGAUAGUCUCACUAACGAAAUUUCCUUCACCCAUAAGUAUAAAAAGUUUGUACUUAGUCCUUUACCACAUUCUCAAGUGGUAAAAGACCAAAUACAAAUGAAGCAAAAGAGGGAUGAGGAAAACAAAAAAAAAAGUGCUAGAAAAAGAUAAAAUCCUUAGGGAUAGGAAGGCGUGGGAGAAGAGUGUUCCUUCCCACAAGGUUGGUCAACAAGAAAAGCCUCUUGAAAACGUUUUUGAAAAUUUGCUUCUUGUUGAACAACCAAGCCUUAUCUUUUGUAAAGGAGCACUUACAUGCACUGCCACAAGUAGUGGACUUAUGAAUUUACCUCCUCAAAUCGAAAAUCUUUUGAGUGAAUUUGAAGAUCUAUUCUCACAAGAGGGACCCAUUGGGCUUCCUCCUCUAAGGGGAAUAGAACAUCAAAUUGACUUUAUACCGGGGGCAAGCCUACCAAAUAGGCCUGCUUAUAGAACCAACCCCGAGGAAACUAAGGAGAUAGAAUCACAAGUUCAAGACUUGUUGGAGAAGGGUUGGGUUCAAAAGAGCCUAAGCCCUUGUGCUGUACCUGUCUUGUUGGUGCCAAAAAAGAUGGAAAAUGGCGCAUGUGUUGUGAUUGUCGAGCAAUCAACAACAUCACCAUCAAGUAUAGGCAUCCAAUUCCAAGGCUUGAUGAUAUGCUUGAUGAAUUGCAUGGGUCAACUCUAUUCUCCAAAAUUGAUCUUAAAAGUGGAUAUCACCAAAUUCGAAUCAAGGAGGGUGAUGAGUNNNNNNNNNNNNNNNNNNNNNNNNNNNNNNNNNNNNNNNNNNNNNNNNNNNNNNNNNNNNNNNNNNNNNNNNNNNNNNNNNNNNNNNNNNNNNNNNNNNNAAGACCAAAUUUGGAUUAUACGAGUGGUUGGUGAUGCCCUUUGGGCUUACUAAUGCCCCAAGUACAUUCAUGAGGCUUAUGAAUCACACCUUGAGGGAUUGUAUAGGUAAAUAUGUAGUAGUUUACUUUGAUGAUAUUUUAGUAUAUAGUAAAACCCUAGAAGACCAUCUAAGUCACCUUAGGGAAGUUCUUCUAGUUCUUAGGAAAAAUAGUCUUUUUGCAAAUAGGGAUAAGUGUACCUUUGGUGUAGAUAGUGUAGUCUUCUUAGGCUUCAUAGUAAACAAUAAGGGGGUGCAUGUAGAUCCUGAAAAAAUCAAAGCCAUCCGAGAGUGGCCAACUCCACAAAAUGUAAGUGAUGUAAGAAGUUUUCAUGGGUUAGCUAGCUUCUAUAGAAGGUUUGUACCUAAUUUUUCUAGCCUAGCAUCUCCUUUGAAUGAACUUGUUAAAAAAGAUGUUGCAUUUUGUUGGAAUGAAAAGCAUGAGCAAGCCUUUCAAAGGCUAAAAGCUCAACUCACCAAUGCACCCAUCCUAUCUCUUCCAAAUUUUUCCAAAACUUUUGAGAUAGAGUGUGAUGCAUCGGGGGUAGGCAUAGGUGCGGUUUUGUUGCAAGGUGGACACCCCAUUGCUUAUUUUAGUGAAAAACUCCAUGGUGCCACCCUCAACUACCCCACCUAUGACAAAGAGCUCUAUGCUCUUGUGCGAGCCCUAAAGACUUGGGAACACUACCUUGUGUCCAAAGAAUUUGUCAUCCAUAGUGAUCACGAGUCUUUAAAAUAUUUAAAGGGCCAACACAAGCUCAACAAGAGACAUGCUAAAUGGAUGGAAUUUCUUGAACAAUUUCCUUAUGUAAUCAAAUACAAGAAAGGAAGCACCAAUAUAGUGGUCGAUGCUCUUUCAAGACGGCAUACACUCCUUUCAAAAUUGGGUGCCCAAAUUCUUGGAUUUGACCACAUAAGAGAGCUUUACCAAGACGAUCAAGAACUCUCAUCCAUCUAUGCCCAAUGUCUACAUAGAGCGCAAGGAGGUUACUAUGUGUCCGAGGGAUAUCUUUUUAAAGAGGGAAAACUUUGCAUUCCCCAAGGAACACAUAGGAAACUCCUUAUCAAAGAAUCACAUGAGGGGGGACUCAUGGGCCACUUUGGAGUUGAUAAAACUCUAGAUCUUUUAAAAGCAAAAUUUUGUUGGCCACACAUGAGGAAAGAUGUCCAACGACAUUGUUCUAGAUGCAUCUCAUGUUUAAAAGCAAAGUCUAGAACAAUGCCGCAUGGACUCUACACCCCUUUGCCGAUUGCAAAUGCUCCUUGGGAAGACAUUAGCAUGGAUUUCAUUUUAGGACUUCCUAGGACUACAAGAGGCCAUGACUCUAUCUUUGUGGUAGUGGACCGUUUUAGCAAAAUGUCCCAUUUUAUUCCAUGCCACAAAGUAGAUGAUGCUCAAAAUAUUUCUAAACUCUUCUUUAGAGAAGUGGUGAGACUCCAUGGUCUCCCUAGAAGUAUAGUGUCCGAUAGAGAUCCCAAGUUUAUCAGCCACUUUUGGAAAACUCUUUGGGGUAAACUUGGAACAAGACUACAAUUUUCAACUUCUUGUCAUNNNNNNNNNNNNNNNNNNNNNNNNNNNNNNNNNNNNNNNNNNNNNNNNNNNNNNNNNNNNNNNNNNNNNNNNNNNNNNNNNNNNNNNNNNNNNNNNNNNNGGAUGGACAAACCGAAGUAGUCAAUAGAUCUCUUGGAACUAUGCUUAGGGCUAUCAUGAAGGGCAGCCACAAAUCUUAGGUUAUCUCAUGUAUUUUGCAAGUUUAUUGUAAGUAAAGUUAUGCUACCAAUUUGUGCUCAACUUUGCUUCUCCCUAGAAUCCUAGGCUCUAAACUUCAAUUCCUUCAUCUUUUCCCUUGGGCUGGCCGAACCACCCAAUACCCACACUUAUCAUGCACCUACAAGAUCAACACCACUCUUAGGAGGAUCUUGCUCACUCUCAUUCAUUGCUUCCGCCCCAUACUCUACAUUGAUUCAAGAAGAACUUCAUGAAAAUGCCAUCAAGUUGCGACGGCACCGCGCAUAAGGAAGGAAAAGAUGCGGCAGCACAUGCCUAAACCUAAAUUUUAAGAGUCAUAACUUUUGGGCCUAAGGCCCAUUCCAAUUUUAACCUAAUAAAACCUAAUUCAAAAUUUAAAUAUGGAAUGUGCUCUGUUAUGUGCAGCUGGAAUCCUAAAUAAAAUUCACAGCUUAUUCUCUGGAACCCUAAAUAAAAUUCACAGCUUACUCUCUGAAAUCCUAAAUAAAAUUAACAGCUUACUCAAAAUUAGGUUUUUUAGGCCCAUUUAAAAAAUUACAAUUAUUUUCAUCUCCAACACAUAUUUUUAUCCUAAAUAAAAAUCAUAGCUUACUCAAAAUUAUGUAUUUGGAUCGUUUCAUGAAUUAUCUUAUGUAUAGAAACUCGAAUAGUAACUCCUCCGAGUUGAGUUACAACGAGUUUUUUUCCCCUUUCCGAUCCGGAUCCGAGUUACGAGUUUGACAACAUUGGUUCAUAUGCCAUAUUAUGGGUUUCUAGGUUUCUAAGUGAGUUUGGCUUGGUUACUUGUGAUUUAGUGAGUUCUUGAAUGAAAGAACAUUGAUCCAAUUCUUAGAAAGUGCCUAAUCAUAUUCAAACUCUUGUUGAAUCCAUAAUUUGUCCAUAUUAUAUCUCUAUCAUGUUAUUGAUAUCAUAUCAACUUGACUGUCUUGAGGAAAGUGAGGAAGCUUUAUAACUGUUCAUACAAAUUUCUUGUUCGUGCGUGAGUUGAUUUAGAGCUUGUUUUAAGGUUUUCACUGAUCUCAGAAGGAGUUCAGAAUUCGUAUGGUCCUGCAACUACUGCCAGUGUUUUACAUUUUCUUGCAAAUUCAAAAAGGUACUCUAAAGUUCCUUUUUGGAUAAAUUUGUGAAGAACGAGAAACAUAAAGUUUCUUCUGUUUUUCACUCUCUUGUUGGGUGGUGUCCGGCCAUACAAAUGCUGUAAUAAUUGAUGUGUUGAUCCUAGCGUAUGCGAGAAACUUAGAAAUCCGAUCUGCUUCUGUGAAACAUUUAGGCCAUUUCAUUUGACCAACUCAGUCUCCCACAUUUAUAAGAGAAAUCACACUCACGUAGACAUAUUUUUGUAUUUUUUUCUUCUAGCACGUCUUCCAAACUCACAUGGAUGCAAUGACAUACUUUUGAGUGAACCUUUAUUGUAAUUUCUUUAUUAGCACACUUCAUCUGAACACAACCACUUUUUUUGUGAGUGAACCUUUGAUGUGAUUUUCUUUUUCUGCAGGUCUCUUACACCUUUGUUGGCGCAUUCACAUAACUCUAAAAGAACCUCAAAUGUAAUACUACACUAACCUACUUCUCAUAUUCAUGCAAGUACAACAAAACUUCUUUGAACAAAUUUUAUUCAAUUUUCUCUUGUAAUGUGUUUUCAUAGUUAUGUAAGAGUACAAGAGUUCCCCCCACUUAAUCCAAUUAAUCAAUUAUUUCUUGUAAAAAAAAAGUCGAGCAAAUAUAUAUGGGUGAUUUGGAGACAAUUCAUGCAUAUGUAGUUUUUAAGACAAUAAAAAGAUAUGCCUUUGACUUUCUAGUUGUUCAAAGGAUGCAAUGUAUUUGAAGUUAAAAACUUGAGUUGUACUUGCACAUGCAAUAAUUAAGGACUCAUGUUCA